UGGGGAAUUUUGGACAAUGGGGGAAACCCUGAUCCAGCCAUCCCGCGUGUGCGAUGAAGGCCUUCGGGUUGUAAAGCACUUUUGGCAGGAAAGAAACGUCAUGGGUUAAUACCCCGUGAAACUGACGGUACCUGCAGAAUAAGCACCGGCUAACUACGUGCCAGCAGCCGCGGUAAUACGUAGGGUGCAAGCGUUAAUCGGAAUUACUGGGCGUAAAGCGUGCGCAGGCGGGUCGGAAAGAAAGAUGUGAAAUCCCAGAGCUCAACUUUGGAACUGCAUUUUUGACUACCGGGCUAGAGUGUGUCAGAGGGAGGUGGAAUUCCGCGUGUAGCAGUGAAAUGCGUAGAUAUGCGGAGGAACACCGAUGGCGAAGGCAGCCUCCUGGGAUAACACUGACGCUCAUGCACGAAAGCGUGGGGAGCAAACAGG
rnacentral:rRNA from 1 species